GGUUGACCUCGGAUUAAGGUAGGAAUACCCGCUGAACUUAAGCAU
rnacentral:rRNA from 1 species